UCCCUGGUGGUCCAGUGGGUAAGACUCUGUGCUCCCAAUGCAGGGACCCCAGGUUCAACCCCUGGUCCAAGAA
rfam:Ovis aries breed Texel chromosome 11, whole genome shotgun sequence.